UACGUAGGGUGCAAGCGUUGUCCGGAAUUAUUGGGCGUAAAGAGCUUGUAGGCGGUUUGUCGCGUCUGCUGUGAAAUUUCGGGGCUCAACCCCGAACUUGCAGUGGGUACGGGCAGACUAGAGUGUGGUAGGGGAGACUGGAAUUCCUGGUGUAGCGGUGAAAUGCGCAGAUACUCAGGAGGAACACCGAUGGCGAAGGCAGGUCUCUGGGCCAUAACUGACGCUGAGAAGCGAAAGCAUGGGGAGCGAACAGG
rnacentral:rRNA from 1 species